rnacentral:rRNA from 1 species
GACGGAGGGUGCUAGCGUUGUUCGGAAUUACUGGGCGUAAAGGGCGCGUAGGCGGCCCUGUCAGUCGGGUGUGAAAGCCCGGGGCUCAACCCCCGGAACGGCACCCGAGACGGCAGGGCUGGAGACCGGGAGAGGAGGGUGGAAUAGCCAGUGUAGAGGUGAAAUUCGUAGAUAUUGGCUGGAACACCGGUGGCGAAAGCGGCUCUCUGGCCCGGUUCUGACGCUGAGGCGCGAAAGCGUGGGGAGCAAACAGG